rnacentral:rRNA from 1 species
UACGUAGGGGGCAAGCGUUGUCCGGAUUUAUUGGGCGUAAAGAGCGUGUAGGCGGCCAAGCAGGUCCGCUGUGAAAACUCGAGGCUCAACCUCGAGACGUCGGUGGAAACCGUUUGGCUAGAGUCCGGAAGAGGAGAGUGGAAUUCCCGGUGUAGCGGUGAAAUGCGCAGAUAUCGGGAAGAACACCCGUGGCGAAGGCGGGUUACUGGGCUGAUACUGACGCUGAAUCACGAAAGCUAGGGGAGCAAACGGG